rnacentral:tmRNA from 1 species
GGGGCCGUACUGGUUUCGACGGGGGUAGUGAGGCUGGAUAAGCGGGCCGUGGCACCUGACCACGAUAAAACGGGUACUUUUUAAAAUUAACUGACAACAAUACUGUUGCUCUGGCUGCCUAAUUAGGCGCCCAUCCGCCCCGGAAGGUCCACGAGCCGGGCUCGGGUGUGAUCUGAGUGGAGACCGUGCGUAUGGUAAGCUUUGCCCAUACCAUGCAUCAUGAAGCUACUGAUUCCUGCAGAGUGUUUGUUCCCGGCAGGAUGAGGGAAUGUAAAUAACAAACUGCGCCCGGAGAAAGUCCCUCCAAGUUGCUUUCGGACAGGGGUUCGAUUCCCCUCGGCUCCACCA